rnacentral:ncRNA from 2 species
AAGCGUUCUCAGGGCGGGGUGGAAUUCCCCACCGGCGGUGAUGGCGACCUGUUCGCACGAGCCCGCGAGCGCCCGCGGCGCGCCACGCGCCGCGGGGUCAGCAGACCUGGUGAGAUCCCGGGGCCGACGGUUCAGGACUUGUGUUGCCGUCAUUUGCGGCAAGACAAGACCUCAUAGUCCGGAUGAAAGAGAGCGCGG